UGUUUUGUCUUUUCAGAAUUCCCCAACUACAAUUUAUUACUUCAGAUUUUCUUGAGGGUUUUUCUCUGUACUCUCCAAUUACCCUGUGAAUACCAUCACUAAAGGAUGAAUCUGGCACUUCUGCUUUCUGAAAUAGCCCUGGUACCACAUGGAGAUGAAAUUCUCUGGCUUUCAGUUUCCAUUUGGUAAUAGCCCCACGCACAUCAAGUCUGACGGGCCAUUUAUUGCUUUUGGCAGCAGAGUGAGGUCUGUGUGCAAGAAUGGCCAAUGAGGGAAACUCCACAGAAGAAUUUGGAGAAGAGUAGCCUGGCCUCGUUGUGAAAGAGGAGCAUCUCCGUAAUUAUUUUACUAAAGGAGAAAAUACUGGAUUUUGAUUCCCUUGAUGUCAACGAGGACAACUACAAUGAAGAACACUUCCUCUGAGGGAAAUCAUGUCAUGAGCAGCCCUAUGGAGAAUCCAAGCAGCAAGGAGCUGAAGCCUUCUGCCAACCACUGGGUUGGAAGACUGAAUGUGCCCACAACCUAACUUUGACCAUGUGGAUGAAGAGAUCACCUCAGGGAAUAGUGAAGCAAUAAUAAAUGGAAGGAAGGUGGAUCCUGGAGUGACUUUUUCCUGCCAAGCUGGAUUGCUCAACUUCUUGUAACAUGAGAAGGAUAUGAACGUCCAGGUUAUUUAAGCCUCUGCGUGUAGAUGCAUACUUUUUGGUUUCAUUUUUGGGACAGCUUAGUCUUUGCCCUAAUAAGCAAGUGUUGCUUUCUCUUGCUUUUAGCAUAUUUGCUUUCAACUUUCCCUUCAGAAGUUUCCUGCUACUUCUAUGUAUCCUGCCCACAUGGGAAAUGUGAACUAUUAGGUCACCAGAGAAAGACACUGACAUCAUAUCCUCCUAUUUGGUGUGGAAUUCCCCCAGUGAAGAAGGCCAGUUGCUUUCUUAGUACUCUUACAUAGCUUUUCCCGUAAGUCUCCACCUCGUUCCCUUCGAACUACUUAGAUGACAGUUAAGGGAAUCAUUCCCACCGUGGAUUGGCUGCUCUCCCUCAGGACUCCUCACCCUGCCUCUAUCACUUCCCCUUUCUAUCUUCUGAACACUGCCUCUUUUACUUGCCAGAGAACUAGAUCAUACACAUCCUCUUUCAAAUCAUAGACACUUUCAACCAAUAGUUAUUGAACAAUUACUUCAUAAGGUACAACCGAAAAUGAUGACAUAGGGAAAGUACCUGGCUUUUCAGUCUACUUGGCAAGAAGAGAUAAAUAAAUUGGCAAUUAUUAUUAUUUUUUAAAGAUUUUAUUUAUUUAUUUGACAGAGAGAUAGACAGAAGAGCACAAGCAGAGAGAGUGGCAGAGAGGGAGAGAGAGAAGCAGGCUCUGCACUGAGCAGGGAACCCGAUGUGGGACUCGAUCCCAGGACCCUGAGAUCAUGACCUGAGCCGAAGGCAGACGCUUAACCAUCUGAGCCACCCAGGCGCCCUAAAUUGGCAAUUAUAAAUUAAAAUGAAAAGUUUUAUAAUUCAAAUAAGUGUAGUGUGUCAUGGGAACACUUAGAAGAGGCAUCUAACCCAGCGUUUGUAGGAGGGAGUGUGGUCAACAGUUUAGGUAUCGAAAAAGGUGAAGUAAGUGUGUACAUUGGCUGGAUAAAACCGUACACCUGUUGGUUAAGAAUAAUACAUAAUUUUAAAACUUCAAAUAACUUCGAGUAUAUAAAAUAAAAAGUGAAAGUUCUUCCCACACACAUUAAUUUUAAUACCCACUGUGAUUUGUUAAUAUUUGAUGUGUGUUCUUCCAGAUAAAUAGAUAUGAAAAUAGAUACACCAAUAUAUAUCCACGUAGGGUUUUAUUUUUCAAAAAUCUGAUCAUAGUAUACAUAUUGUUACGCAGCUGCUCAUUUUCCCCACAUAAUCUUUUUUAUCAUGUGCAUAUAUUUACCUCAUUUUAAAAAUAGCUGAUAGACUUCCCUACUAAUUAGUCACUAACUUAUUUAAUAACUCUCUUCUCCUUUGACAUUUAGGUUGUUUUCCAUUUUUUUUGCCCCUUCAGUAGUAGUGUUUCAAGGAACAUUCUAUCCAUUGGACCCAGCGAUAAAUAUUAAGAGGAAAGAAUAACAAUCUGAAGAUUCUGUAUCUGCCCCAAAUAUCAUAUGAUUAUGAGAAAAAAAAAAUUUGGUUAUGUAAAGUAUCAGAAAGUUACCUUCUGCUUUUCUUUCCAGGGAAUUUACUUGAGGAAUCACUCUAGCAAAAUCAAAAUCAAAGUAAAACUAUAUUUCAGGGAGAUUUGAAGUGUAUAAAAACAUGAAUGAGUAAUCAACCCAAUACAAUUUAAAAGAUCAGAAUAGACGAUCAGAGCAUGGUUCCUGAAUAGAGAACUUAAAUAUUAUAAAGAAAUUGAUAUUUCCCAAAUUAAGAUUUAGGGCUUCUUAUGAUUCCAAACAAACCCUAAGAGGAGCCUGUUUUUGAAUCAUGACAAAAAUUUCUAGAAAAGUAAGUAAGAAUGGUUAAAGAAUACUUAUAAAAAAGAGGCUGGAGGUUGGCAUUUGCCUUAUCAUAUGCUGAAGAAUUAUAAAGAUAUCAUUGUAUUUAGCAUUGUAAGUCCUGAGAAUAGCCAGAUAAAUUGGUGACUCAGAAGUAAUAUCCUGGAAUGAGAACUUAUAAAAUAUAGAAAGAUAAUAAGGUAACAUAUUUUAAAGAAAUUACAAAUUUAAGGAUAAGGAAUUGUUUCUUUAAUAAUGUGGAGAAGAAGGAAAUUUUGAUGACUAUUUUGUUAGAACUUUGCAUCACAGCAUACAUUAGAUAGAUUAAAGAGUUAAAAAUUCAACCAUAAAAAAUUGGAGAAGGUAUAAAAGAAAGAUUAUAUCUUCCCUUCCUGAUGAAAGGCUCCCUCAAGCAAAAAAAACCAAUACAAAAAGCCAUAGGAAAAAGAUAAUAGAUUUGACCAUAUAAAAGUUACUGUAGUUCAAAGAAAUAUAGAGACAAAAGGAGAAGGCAAAUCACAAACCAGAAAGAUAUAUACAACACACACUGCAAAAAACAGGGUUGCUAUCACUUGGCAAAACUCCAGUACUGGUUAAAUCCAAAUCUCAGCCUAGUCUGUGCCCAAACCUUCACAGAUGAAUGUGUCUGAUUUAAAAAACAAAACUAGGGUGCCUGGGUGGCUCAGCUGGUUAAGCGACUGCCUUCGGCUCUGGUCAUGAUCCUGGAGUCCCUGGAUCGAGUCCCGCAUCGGGCUCCCGGCUCGGCAGGGAGCCUGCUUCUCCCUCUGACCCUAUCCCCUCUCAUGCUGUUUCUCUCCCUCUCUCUCUCUCAAAUAAAUAAAUAAAUAAAAAUCUUAAAAAAAAAUAAAAAUAGAAAACAAAACUAUGUGCAGUGGCCUAACUCUAAAUUUACUGUUAAUUGCCUUCAAGUGAGCAGUUAGUCCUGUUGUAAAACUGUAAUACAUUUCCCUAGUUCACUCACUCUCCUACAUUCCCUGACAACUAUUUCAUACCCCCUUCCACACUUCAAGCUUCCAGCAUCUUCUCCUCAUCUUUACUCUAAAUGGAUGAUCUUGCUUAUUUCACUCAGAAAGUAGUAGCAUUAAGGGGGGCACAUGAUGUGAUGACCACUGGGAGUUAUACACUACUAAUGAAUCAUUGGACACUAUAUCAAAAACUAAUGAUGCACUCUAUGUUGGCUAACUGAAUUUAAAUAAAUGAAAGCAAGCAAGCAAGCAAGCAACGAGAAGAGGAUUUCCACAUACCCACACCACCAUGUCACCCCACCCACUAGCAUCUCCCCUCCUGUUCCAGAAGAAUCUUCUAUGCUCCCAUCAACACUUUCACAGGGUCUCUCACUCCCACCCCCUUUCACCUACUCAAGGACAAGGAUGUGUCUCCAGAAAUUCCCUCUAUUUACUGAACCAUUCUCUUCAGCCCACAGUCAUGACAUUAUUUUUCACAUCUUAAAAAAAGUCUCUUUUGGGAUGCCUGGGUGGCUCAGUCGGUUAAGCGUCUGCCUUCGGCUCAGGUCAUGAUCCCAGGGUCCUGAGAUCCAGUCCCAUAAUGGGCUCCCUGCUCAGAGGGGAGCCUGCUUCUCCCUCUGCCUGCCACUCCCCCUGCUUGUGCUCUCUCUGUCACAUAAAUAAACAAAAUCUUAAAAAGAAAAAACCACUCUUUUGUCCCACUUUCCUCUUAAGUUAUUGUCCUUUUGCGCUGCUCUGCUCUGCAGCGAUCCCCCUCGAAGGAGUUGUGUAUACUUGUUUUACCAUUUCCAAUUCCUCGACUUGCAUUAUCUCUUGACUCAAUCCAUUCAGGCUUUCACCCCCACCAACUCCAGUGCAACUGCUCUUGUCAAAGUCAGCCAUGACUUUCAUUUUUGCUAAGCCUAAUGAUCAGCCCUGGGUUUUAUCUUGCCUGAUCUAUCAGCAGCAUUUGACACAACAAUCACCCCUUCUUCCCAGAAACAUUCAGUUCACCUGGCAUCCAGGACACCAGUCUCCUUCCUGUGUUAUUCCUGCCUCACAGCUUUCCAUGUCUAACAUGGCCCUCCUGAUCUUUCCACAUUCCCCCAGCUGUUUCACUUGGGAGUCUUCACCAUUUCAGUGAAUGAUAACCUUCUUUCCAGUUGCUCAGACCAAAAAUCUAGUAGUCAUAUUUGAUUCAUCUCAUUUUCCCAUACUCUGCUUAUAACCAGACAGUAAACCUAUUGGCUCUCUCUUCAAAAUGGAUGUGAGUAUUUAUCACAUCUUACCGUCACUGCUCCCAUUCUUGUGCAAGCCACAACGUAUCUCAAGUGGAUUAAUAAAAUAAUCUUUUCACUGUUCUUCCUGCUUCCACCCUUGCUCCUUUUGUUCUUCACCCUGCAGUCAGAGUGAUCCUUUUAAGUCUGAUUACUUGUUGGGUCUUUGCUCAAAACGUUCCAACAGAGUCCUGUCUCAGAGUCCAACUCAGUGUCCUCCUGUAUGAUAUGCCCCCUCUCCAUCCUCAUCCUUUACACCUUCUUCUUGCUCACUCUGCUUCAGUCACAGCAGCCUGCUUACUGUGCCUGGAAAAAGGCAGGCAGCCUGAGCCUUUUCAAUAGGUCCCUCCUCUCCUUUUUAUCUUUACUCAAAUAUCACUUUCCCUGCCCACUGUAGUCGUUCCUGUUAAAUCCCUAUCCCAUCCCUUGCUUCAUUUUUCAACAUACUAUUCAUCACCCUCUAAUAUACUAUAUAAUUUUAUGUAUUUUGUCUAUUGUUUCUGUCUACUCCCAUUAGGAUGCAAGCUCCAUGAAGUUAGGGAUUUUUGUUUGUAUUAUUAUUAUUUUUUUUACUGAUGUAGUCUCAGUGCUGGCACAUUGUAGUUGUUCAAUAAAGGUUUGUUGAAUAAACUAAUAAGCUAUGUUUAAUGAACAUACAAAGAGCAAAAGGGAGUAUAAGUCUCUCAAAAUUCCUAA